CGGAGAGCAGGUGACGGCGGCCUCCGGGCAUGGAGCUCGCGCUGACGAAAGGUUCUGGAAGCCGCCGUAAAAAGUAAUCAAGAAACGGGUGACAGGACUUUUCGUAAGACAUUUAAUUUUUACCCAGAGUAUCCGAAACAUUGCCGUGUCAAUCUCAGUGCGAUGGGAGACUGCCGGCCCCAAGGAGCUGCUCGUCCUUCUGCCGAGUUCCGGCCCGGACCCGCGGAGGAGGAGACCGCCGCGCCGGAGCUCGGACCUGACGUUUUUGUGAAGCACAGGGGGCGUGGGAGGGACCGGAUCAAUGCGGCACUCAACAAAACCUGUUUUUAAAAGAGUCGUGCUGUGUCGCCCAGGCUGGAGUGCAGUGACGCGAUCUCGGCUCACUGCAGCCUCCACCUUCCGGGCUCAAGCGAGCCUCCCGCCUCAGCCUCCUGAGUAGCUGGGAUUACAGGCACACACCUCCAGCUCGGCUGUUUUAUUUAUUUAUUUUUUUUUUGAGACGUAAUUUAGCUCAUGUUGACCAGGCUGGAGUGCAGUGGCGCGAUCUGGGCUCACCGCAACCCCCGCCUCCCGGGUUCAAGCGAUUUUCCGCCUCAGCCUCCUGAGUAGCUGGGGUUGCAGGCAUGCGCCACCACGCCCGGCUAAUUUUGUACUUAUAGUAGAGACGGGGUUUCUCCAUGUUGGUCAGGCUGGUCUCGAACUCCCGACCUCAGGUGCUCCGCCCGCCUUGGCCUCCCAAAGUGCUGGGAUUACAGGCGUGAGCCACCUCUCCAGGGCCAAAAGCCUUUUAUUGGAGUACUGGGUAACACAUUCAGAAGAGGGUGCAUAGCUUAGGCGCUCCGUGAAUUUUCACAAACUGAACAUACACCCAGGUAGCCAACACCCCCAGCAAGCCCCAGAAUCCCCUCAUGCUUGCUUUCUGCCACUAUCAAGCAGUUUGCUUUCUUUCAGAUUUUUAAGUUUUGAAAUAAUUAUUGAAAUGUACAGGGAGAAGUCUGGGUUGGUGGUUCUAACCUGUAGUCUCAGCUACUAGAGAGGCUGAAGGGGGAAGAUGGCUUUAGCCCUGGAUUUCUAGACUAGCCUGGACAACAUAGCAAGACCUCAUCUCUAUUUGUUUUUGAGACAGAGCCUCGGUCUGUCACCCAUGCUGGAGCGCAGUGGACCUCCGCCUCCCGGGUUCAAGUGAUUCUUCUUUCUCAGCCUCCCGAGUUAUUUGGGAUUACAGGUGUGCGCCACCACGCCCAGCUAAUUUUUUUGUAUUUUUAGUAGAGACGGGUUUCACCAUGUUGGCCAGGCUGGUCUUAAACUUCUGACUUAAGGUGAUCUGCCCGUCUCGGCCUCCCAAAGUGCUGGGAUUACGACGUCAGCCACUGCUCUUGGCCUAUCUUUUUUUUUUUUUUUUUUUUUAAAAGAAAGAGAUGUAUAGGGAGAUCACCCAGUAUCCCUCAGUGUUAACAUCUUGCAUAGCUACAGUUAGCAUAGAAGCCAGGUAAUUGACAUUGGUACUGUACAUGGGACUUACUCAGAUUUACACGUUUUUUAAUGUUUUAUGUGUAUGUAGUUCUCUAUUCUCUACCAUUUUUAUGAGAGUUCCAGUUGCCUUGCAUUCCCACCAGCACUUAGUAUUGUCAGAUUUAUCAUUAUUUAGGUAUUCUGGUAGGUGUAUGGUGGAAUCUCACCAUAGUUUUAAUUUCUUCUCUUUUUUUAAAAAAUAGGAACAAGGUCUCACCAUGCUGCCCAAGCUGGUCUGAAAACUCUUGUCCUCAGGCAGUCCUCCCACCUCGGCCUCCCAAAGAUCUGAGAUUACAGGCAUGAGCCACCACACCUGGCCUUGGUUUUAAUUCCUGUCACAGUAUAUUAGUUUUCGCUGUUGUGUAUUGAUUGAUUGAGACAGGGUCUCGCUCUGUUGCCCAGGCUGGAGUGCAGGGGCAUGAUCCCAGCUCACUGCAACCUCCACCUCUUGGAUUCAAGUGAUUCUCCCGUCUCAGCCUCCCGAGUAACAGGAACCACAGGUGUGUGCCAGCACGCCUGGCUAAUUUUUUUUUUUUUUUUCUUGAGGUGGAGUUUCACUGUUGUUGCCCAGGUUGGAGUGCAGUGGCACAAUCUCAGCUCACUGCAACCUCUGCCUCCUGGGUUCAAGUGAUUCUCCUGCUUCAGCCUCACGAGUUGUUGGGAUUACAGGCGCCCGCCACCACGCCCAGGUAAUUUUUGUUUAGUAGAGACGGGGUUUCACCAUGUUGGCCUGGCUGGUCUCGAACUCCUGACCUCAGGUGAUCCACCCACCUCGGCCUCCCAAAGUUGUGGGAUUGCAGGCGUGAGCCACUGCGCCUGGCCUAAUUUUUCAAUUUUUUGGUGGAGAUAGGGUUUCACCAUGUUGGCCAGGCUGGAGUUUUGCCUGUUCUAGAAGCUUGUAUCAGUCAUACAACACGUAAGUUCUUUUUGUCUAGCUUCUUUUGCUCAACACAAUAUCUCUGAGAUUUAUUUAUGUUUUUAUGUAAACAUAAAUGUUCAUUUUUCUUGCUAAGUACUAUUUCAUUGUAUGAAUAGACCACAGUUUGUUUAUCCAUUCACCUAGUGGUGGACAUUUUAUUUAUUUUUAUUUAUUUAUUUAUUUAUUUAUUUUUGAGACAGAGUCUUGCUCUGUCGCCCAGGCUGGAGUGCAAUAGCUCAAUCUCAGCUCACUGCAGCCUCUGCCUCCCAGGUUCAAGCCAUUCUCCUGUCUCAGCCUCCCGAGUAGCUGGGAUUACAGGCACACACCACGACACCCUGCUACUUUUUGUAUUUUUAGUAGAGACAGGGUUUCACCAUGUUGGUCAGGCUGGUCUUGAACUCCUGGCCUCGUGAUCCAUCCACCUCGGCCUCCCAAAGUGCUGGGAUUACAGGCAUGAGCCACCGCACCUGGCCAUGGUGGACAUUUAUGUUGUUUCCAACUUAGGGCUAUUAUAACUAGAUUUUAGUAGCUACCAUCCCCCAAAUGCAUGGUACCAAUUUUCUCUCCUACCAACAGCAUGUAAGGUGACAGUUCAGGAGAAGUGUCCUAAGCAUGUGUCAUGGACCCUGUUUGGGGGGUGAUUUCUUUGAGGCGGGGCCAGGCAUUCUUGGUUCUCUGUGGCCUCCCCUGCCCUAUUUUUUUUUUUUUAGAUGAAGUUUCACUUUUGUCACCCAGGCUGGAGUGCAGUGGUGCUAUCCCGGCUCACUGCAACCUCCGCCUCCUGGGUUCAAGCGAUUCUCCUGCCUCAGCCUCCCGAGUAACUGGGAUUACAGGCAUGCACCACCGUGCUCAGCUAAUUUUUGUAUUGUUAGUACAGACAGGAUUUUGCCAUGUUGGCCAGGCUGGUCUCCAACCCCUGGCCUCAACUGAUCCACCUGCCUUGGCCUCCCGAAGUGCUGGUAUUAUAGGCAUAAGCCACCGCGCCUGGCUGGUCCCCUGCCCUAUUUUAAGAGUCUCUAUUAGGGAUAAACUUCAUGGAAAAUGUAUGUCUGUUCUAAGAAUGUUCUCAAGUGUCAUUACCUUGUGCUGUAUCUGUUUCCUCUUUACGAGGAUUCUCAGAAGAAAUUCUUGCCGAGUCUCAAUAGUUGAAAUAAUUUCACUCCUUCCAAGCAUUUGGUUUGCUCUUAUUUUAAGGACACUGAAUUGGGCAGGUGGUCAAGUUACACACAUGUGAGGGACUGAAAUAUAUGGUGUCAUUUUUUCCCGUUAGUCUUACGAAUGGUUCCAUACUGUGUGCCUUCCUGUUUUUCUUCCACUAGUACUUCCAGUUCGUGCUUUCUUGCUAUAUUUUAUAGAGAAAGGCCAUUUCUAUGUCUUUCUGGUACUGGGUGGGUUAUAAUAAAAACGUGCCUUUGGUGCCAUGAUUUGGGGGUGUCUUUGGCCGUGCAGCAGAGCGAUGCCCCAGCUCUGCUAGAUGUUUGAAGGGCUAUUGAGUGGAAGAGGGGUCCCUUCCUGUGACCUUGGCCCCCUUAUCAGUUGACUAACUGGCCCCAGACCAGUAUGUAAAGCACAUGCAAAUCCUCAAACAGCCUCUUGGAGCCAGCUGGCCAUGCUGUCCUCAGCUUCAGAUUUUUUUGUGUUUCUGGCUCCACGGUGUUCCCCCGCAUCCUAGUCCAUCCUCCUGUCCUUUCUUGAACCAGCUGUCUGUCUGUGCUUUCCUCGAUGCUGUGUGGCCUUGUAGCAUUUGUCAUUUUCACUCUGUUGAGUUGGCCGGCUUGGCCUCCCUUGUCCUGCAGGUCCUGGGCAGGGAUGGCGUUAUAUCAUCCUCUGCCUUUGUCUCCUUUCUCCUCUUGCCCUGCUGAGUCGCAAGUUUAUUCUGUUGGUUGACAAGAACCUGUGCUGACAGAGGAGGGGAUAGGACUGGGGGCUGCGGCAGGACCAGCUCUAAAUCUGGCAGCUGAAGAAAGGAAUGAGUUCCCCAAAGCAGCUUCUCCCACCACACCCCCGAUUGAGAAAACAAGGAGCUGGCCGGGCAUGGUGGCUCGCGCCUGUAAUCCCAGCACUUUGGGAGGCCAAGGCAGGUGCAUCACCCAAGGGCAGGAGUUCAAGACCAGCGUGGCCAACAUGGCGAAACUCCGUCUCUAUUAAAAAUACAAAAAUUAGCUGGGCAUGGUGGUGCCUGCCUGUAAUCCCAGCUACUAGUGGGGCUGAGGCAGGAGGAUCGCUUGAACCUGGGAGGUGGAGGUUGCAGUGAGCUGAGAUCGUGCCACUGCACUCCAGCCUGGGCAACAGAGCAAGACUGCAUCUCAAAACAACAACAACAAAGGCUGGUCGUGGUGGCUCACUCCUGUAAUCCUAGUACUUUGGGAGGCCAAGGCGGGCGGAUUGCCUGAGCUCAGGAGUUCGAGACCAGCCUGGGCUACACGGUGAAACCCGUCUCUACCAAAAUACAAAAAAUCUGUAGUCGCAGCUACUCAGGGGGCUGAGGCAGGAGAAUUGCCUGAACCCUGGAGGUGGAGCUUGCAGUGAGCCGAUAUCGUGCCACUGCACUCCAGCUUGAGUGACAGAGCAAGACUCCGUCUCCAAAAAAAUAAAUAAAUAAAAAUAAAUUAAAAAAAAUUAGGAGCUAAGAAUGACAGCUGCAAAGUUGCCUGAAUUAGGGGGCCCAAGUCAAGUUUUCCCCAGGGUGCCGGCUAUCUUGGUGGAUGGCCUCAAUAAAUAGGCAGGUGAUUUGUGAAGGUUGAAGGGGUUGCAGGUGCCACACACAUCAGCGGUUAGUCUGUUGAUACACAUUUAUUAUCUCUCCUAUUGUCUCCUGCCCUAUGGGAGAUGUAGACAGUGCUCUGAACGUUCUGGUUGCAAAGAGAAUUGACAAACUGCUGUUCUCCAGCCUGACCAACAUGAUGAAACCCCAUCUAAAAAUACAAAACAAUUAGCCGGACUGUAGUGGUGCACGCCUGUAAUCGCAGCUACUCAGAAGGCUGAGGCAGGAGAAUUGCUUGCAUCCAGGAGGUGGAGGUUGCAGUGAGCUGAGAUCACGCCAUUGCACUCCAGCCUAGGCGACAGAGUGAGUCUCUGUAUCUGCUGUUCUGUUGUAGGAGAAGGAGAUGUCAGGUAUAAGGGUUAGCAGGGGGUGGCUUGGUUGCGAUCAGGAGAGAGGUAGUGCUCAUUCUCCAUGGGAUCCUUGUGGUGCAUGUCCCUGGCUUUUUUUUUUUUUUUGAGAUGGAGUCUCACUCUGUCACCCAGGCUGGAGUGCAGAGGCACAAUACUCGGCUUACUCGGCUCUGCCUCCUGGGUUCAUGCAUUUCUCCUGCCUCAGCCUCCUGAGUAGCUGGGAUUACAGGUGUGCACCACCACGCCUGGUAUUUUUAGUAGAGAUGGGGUUUCUCCACGUUGGCCAGGCUGGUCUCAAACUCCUGACCUCAAGUGCCGCGGUUUGCCACAGUUACCACGGGACUAAACGAAGGGGUACGAACGUAGAAAUGAAAACUUAAAACAAAAGAAACUGUUUUAAAGGAAGGGGCCAGGGGAAGAAGAAGAGGGCUCCCUGCUUCUAGUGAGCAAGGGCAGCCGCCUUGAACCUCUACCGCCCUUCAUACUCAUUCGGUAGAAAGAGCAGGGUGGAGGAGGUAACAAUUGGUCAGCUGCUUGAUUGAUCACAGGUUCACCUUAUCUCAUUACAAGAAACACUUGUGCUGGGUCGUGACUGCCCUCAGCAUUCCUUCUGGGUGGCAGACGCAGUUUGUCAGUUUGCCAACACCCUGCUUUCAUGAAAACAGUUUGCUGUUUACUCAUAUAGCCUCCAGUGGUGCACUGAGUUGAUCACGACCCUCACUCUUUCGGCCUGCAACACUCAAGUGAUCCACCUGCCUCGGCUGCCCAAAGUGUUGGGAUUACAGGCAUGAGCCACCACGCCCGGCCUGCUCCUGGCUUUUGGCUGAAAGUUGAGACUUAGAAGUUGGGAGGAGACCUGGAGCACCGUGGCUAGUUCUAGGCCCUACACUCUUCAGAACAGCAGAGCUGUAGCUGUCUGGUAGUGAGCUCUCUGUUGCUGGGAGUAUUCAGAGGCUGGAUGGCUGGCUGUUAAGGGAUUUCUGCUUGGGUGGGAAUUUGGGUCCCUCUAAGACAGAUAACCUAUGAUUUCUGAGAUAAAUGGGACAAUACUUUCAAUGAGGGUUACAUGUUAACGCUGGGUCAGUCUUGAGUACAAAAUGGAUUCAGAGACCUGAGUUGUCAUGUUCAAUCUGAUUUUCCUAGCCCUUUGAGGAACCGUUUGAGGUGUGGCACGAUACAGCAAGUCAGCUGCCAAAGAGGGGCUUAGCCACAGGAAGUGCGUGCCCAGAACGCAUCUCCCGUGUCCCUCACAGCAGUUCUAUGAGGCUGGCUGCCCUGUUUGACAACUGAGGCCCGCAUCUUCCCCGGAAUCACCGACGUGUGGCUCUGAGCCCUGUCCCAGGGAUUUUCUCCAUCAGAGAAGAGGAGCACUUUGAGCUUUGAGAGGAGCAGCCCUCUGCAAGUGAAGUGGAAAAAAAGGAAGCAGGCGAGGAGGCCCAUCCAGACCCUCCCCCAAGACCCUUGCUGAAAUGGCUGGGAUGCGGCGUGCAGAAGCUCUCCUUUCCUUCACAGCCCCUGGCUUUCCAAGAGUCCCUGCCCACCCAGAUGCCCGCUGGCAGAUGCAGCCUCAUCUCAAGGACACUGCUUGCUGGAUAAAUCCCUCACCACCCUAGAGACAGCCCACGGUCCUGAGACAAGGAUGCGGGCCAGGCUUGUUGCACGUAAGCGCCUCCCGCAGAAACCAGUGAGGCCGGAGUUCCAGAGGAAAUGAUGUAGGGACAGAGGCAGAGGGCCUCCAGGAGGCACCAGCCCCAGAGUCUUCCCUAGAAUCAGACUUUAAGCACAAGCAGGGAGGGAAAGCACUUGAGCAGUGCCCGUCCCUGCAUACCUGGCCUCUGCUGGAACCCAUGCAGGGACAGGACACUUCUUUAUCAGCAAUCCUGUUCCUCUCCUGGGCAGCUUCAACCUGAACAUCCUCCUUCACCUUGAGCUAAAAUGGGUUUCUUGUCACCCUUGCCCAUCAAACCUGGCCUUGCCCUCAGGAACCACACAGGACAAGCCUAAUACUUCCUUCUUGUGGCAACACUUUAGCAAUUGAGACCUGGCUGUCAGGUCCUCCAAAUAAACAUUUGUGACUGUGAUGUUGACUUGCCGCUUCUGGGGACCUCUUCUCAUUUGAUCGGAGAAAGUUUUUCAGGGUUAAACCUACUUCUUUCCCCCAAGAAACUCUUCUUGUCAGGCUCACGCCUAUAAUCCUGGCACUUUGGGAGGCCAAGGCAGGAGGAUUGUUUGAGACCAGCCUGGGCAACGUAGGUAGACUAUGUUGCUACAAAAAGAAAAAGAAAAAAUGGCCAGGUGUAGUAGUCCCAGCUGCUUGGAGGCUGAGGUAGGAGGUUUGCUUGAGCCCAGGAGGUCGAGGCUGCAGUGAGCUAUGAUUGUGCCACUGCACUCUAGCCUGGGAGACAGAAUGAGGCCCUGUCUCAAAAAAAAAAAAAAAAAAAAAAAGAUGAUGAAACUCCUCACGUAUUUCUCCCCGGAGCAUGUGCUCCCAGGCUCAAAUCCACAGCAGCCUCGUUACACACACGUCAUCCCCUGGCCCCGAGAUAUUGCACCGCCUUCCCCUUUCUAGCUCUGAACCCCCACAUGAAGCAGCCAGACGUAGGAAAACCCAGAUUCAUAAAGCGCUGAUAUGGGUGGUCCUUUACCAAAGGAUUUUCUGCUUUACAAAGUAAUUCACCAAAUGAUUUCCCUAGAGUAUGGGCAGAGAUUUGCAAACUACAGCUUGGAACCAAGCUGCCUUUUUUUUAUAAUAAAGUUUUAUCAGGAUGCAUCCACAUCCAUUCAUCUCUGUGGUGCCAGCUGCUCUAGCUACACAGGCAGAGUGGAAGAGUUGCAGAUGGCCAACAAAACCUAAACUGUUUACCGCCUGGCCCCUUAUAGAAGCAGCUGGCUGACGCUGGCUCCAGGGCAUCAGAAAUGGGACCAUUGGAAAGGAGUAGCCGGGCUACAUGGUUUUUCUUCUGCCCCACGUCUUGUUCUCAAACAUGCUUCCUCCCCAGUCAUCUGAGGAAUGUCAGUCUGAGACAGUCAGGAGCAGGUGUGCCUAGGGAUGCAUGGUUUCUGAAAAUGGGGUGGGGUCUUUUAGGCUGAGGGCUCUGGCAGCUUCUGUCUGAAGGCUGAGCUGAGCUGAGCAGAGCUGGGCAUGGUGGCUCACGCCUGUAGUCCCGGCUACUCAGGAGGCCAAGGUGGGAGAAUCACUUGAGCCUGGGAAGUUCAGAGGAGCCUGGGCAACACAGUGAGACCUCAUCUUUAUUUUUUGAAAUUUUUUGUUUUUAUUAUUUUUUUAAUUUUUAGGAGCAGAGGGUUAAUAGGCAAAAGAAAGAGAGAGAGGAAAACAGCUCUCUCCAGUGAGAGAGAGGGUACUUCUGAAAGGAAAACGCCACCGGCAGCAGAUGCACUGGAUUUUAUAGUCAGGCUUGAGGAGGUGGUGUCUGAUUUACAUAGGGCUCACAGAUUGGUUCAGUCAGGUAUGAUGUUUACAUAGCGCUGGGGUGUGGGGAAGGCUGACCUCCCCACUCUAAUCUUAUUAUGCAAAUGAACUUUCCCCUUGGCCAGCACCAUCUUGUCUGCUCCUUACUGUGCACGUGGCUGGCAGAGAAGGGAAGAUGGAGCCGCCAUUUUGAACAUGAUUGGCACAACUGCCUGCAUCUAUGUCUGCAGCUCGAUUUUACACGCUGCUCUUUGUUAGAAAGGAAAAUGAUUUGGGGCUGCUUUUCAGUAAAAGGAAAACCUUACUGAGGACUUCUGUAUCCUCACUAUCUAAGUAAUUUCCUCUUAACUCCUGUAUCAUUCCCCACUCUGGAGUGGUAACCCUAACUGCUCUUCGGGGUUGUUUGAUGAUGACUCUUUCUGGCUACUUCAUACUUAAAAGGGGUGUUGUGUGGGGAACAGAAGCUAAGGGCUCCUCCUGGGGUCGAGCUAAGGGUCCUCGGAAAAAAGGCAUGUCCGUGCAUGGUUCUGUCUGCAGCACCAUUUAGAGUUUGAUUACUGUCAGCCAUUCUGAUGGGUUGUAACACUGGUUUGCCUCCACCAGAUGUUGAGAUAGUUUCCAGAUUCCAGAGAA
rnacentral:lncRNA from 1 species